UUGGUGGUUAUUUUAAUGAGCCUGAAGGCAGAGAGCACUUGGGUGGAAUAUGAGUAAAUCUCAUUACUCUGACGGUGCUUGCCUGACUACAAAGAAAGUUUAUAUUUAGUAAACUACUCGCUCCUGUGACCCAGUUUGCCAGGAUGAUAAUUUCCUUAGCGUGGCACUGAGCUCACUUUUCCCUGCUCAAAUUCCAUCAAUGAGGGAUUGUUCCCAUCUCUGAAUUCCUCAGAGCAAGGAACACUCUGGGAAGUGAACUCAGUCCAGGAAUUCCUUCCCAAUAUCCCACCCAAACCUCCUUUUCCAGUGGGAGCCAUUCCCUGGAUCCUGUCUCGCCAUCCCUCGUCCUUCUCCAGCUCUUCUUGAGCCCCUUUAGGUCCUGGAAGGGCUCUGAGCUCUCCCUGGAGCCCCUUUAGGUCCUGGAAGGGCUCUGAGCUCUCCCUGGAGCCCCUUUAGGUCCUGGAAGGGCUCUGGAGCCUUCUCCUCUCUCUCCUUCAUCCCCAACUCUCCCAGCCCAUGGUCCCCUCUGUGCUCCUUGCUCUGUUCAGUUUUGAAGAGAUCAGCUGCUAAAAAACCCUUUAAAACAUGGAGAAAACUUUUUUUUUUUACAUAUAUAUAUAUAUAUAUGUAUAUAUAUACAUGAGAAAACACAUUUCUUAUUCUAUAUACUUAUAUAGAUAUAAUACUUAAAUAUAAUAUGUGAGUUAGACUUAAAUUUAAAUAUUAAAUUUAGGUAGCACUGGGAUUUUGCCUGUAGUAAAAAAUAAAGUUUAUAUUGUUCAUGUUCAUAGAGAAAACACUAUACAUCGAGAAAACAUUUGUAUUUUUAAAAAUAUACAUUUUUAAUAUAAUAUAGUUUAUAUACAUAGAGAAAACAUUUUUUAUUCUAUAUACUUAUAUAGUUAUAAUACUUAUGUAUAAUAUGUGAGUUAGACUUAAAUAUCCCAUUUAUAUAUUAAAUGUUGGUAGUGCUGGGAUUUUGCCAGUAAUAAAAAAAUUAAGUAUCUGUUAAAAUAAUCAAACAAAUUAAAAAAAAAAUAAAGCAUCUGUUUUCUAUAUACAUGAGAAAACACAUUUUAUAUAUACAUGAGAAAACUCUUUUUUUUAUUCUAUAUACUUAUAUAUAUAUAUAUACUAUACUACUUCAAUACAAUAUAUGAGUUAGACUUAAAUAUCAUAUUUAUAUAUUAAAUUUAUAUAUUAAAUUUAUAUAUUAAAUUUAUAUAUUAAAUUCUGGUAGUGCUGGGAUUUUGCCUGUAGUAAAAAAAAUAAAGUAUCUGUUGUCUAUUUACAUGGAGAUAACAUUUUGUUUUUUAAAUAUACUUAUGUACAUAUAAUACUUACAUAAAAUAUAUGAGUUAGACUUAAAUAUUAGAUUUAAAUAUUAAAUUUUGGUAACACUGGGAUUUUGCCUGUGGUAAAAAAUAAAGUAUCUCUUGUUUAUGUGCAUAGAGAAAACACAUUUUUUAUUCUAUAUGCUUAUAUAGAGAAAACACAUUUUUUAUUCUAUAUACUUACAUACAUAUAACACUUACAUAUAAUAUGUGGGUUAGAAUUAAAUAUGAAAUAUAGAGACAAUUAUCUGGUACAGAAUACAGCACAGCAUCCCCAAAACUGCCCUUCACCAGAAUACCAGGAAAUUUAUAAAAUUAGUGAGGCUCUUGUACUUUUAGUUAAAAUAUCUUCUUGUUUUCUUUUGGGAAUUAGAAAAUUCUGUCCUCUUGGUGCCAAUAAAAUGGUAAAUUUUAUUGACAGCAAAUAAAAAAAUAAAAUAAAAGCAGGAUGGAAUUCUUCCUUUGGACAGUCUUGGAAUAAACUCAUCUGUCCUGUGAUCCCAUUAGUCCUUGGUUCAUCUCUGACAAAACAACCUGACCCCCUUUAUUUAUUUCUUUAUUUCUUUCUUUUUCUUAUUGAAAAGAAAGUCUGAGGCAGCCUUUUCAGCAUUAUUGUGCAAUAAAAAAAGGAAAAUAUUUAUGUUUUCCUGCUCAAUCUUCUCCAGAGUGGCCUUUGGAGCUGAGCUGGAUUCUGAGCUCCGAGGAGAAUCCAGCCCUGCUCAUUCCUGUCCUGCUCCUGCUCUGCACCCCAUGUGUGAAAAUACAAAAAUCCUUCAGUAGUUUUCCAAUCUGCUGCUCCUUUGCCACUACAAAGAAAAAAAAAAAAAAAAGAAAAAAAAAAA
ensembl:lncRNA